AAUAUGUCUCUUUUUUGAAGAGAUAAUACAUUCAUAGACUUAAAUAAAAUUUAUUGAUUUAGAAUAUGAGAAUAUUCAAUAAUAAUUUGAUACUAAAAUUUAAACUAUCAAGGAAGUUAUUUUAGUUAAGAUUAAGGCACUUAGUUUGAUUUCAACAAUAUUCUAAAAACAUAACCUUUUUUUCUAGGUAUUGAUUUUUAUAUAACCAUAUAAGCUUACAGGUAGUAGAGUUUCUUCUAAAAUUUUCCAAUAAGCAUAUUUUGUUUUUUACUUGAAAGAGGCUUUCCCCAAUAUAGUGACCUUUUUUCAUUAUACAUAGAGAUGAUGACACCUGAUAAAUGAUACGCUGAUUAACAAUAAAGAAAUUUGAAUAAGCAGAAAGUUAAUGAUUGUUACCCAAAGUGAAUUAGGGUUCCUAAAGAGUUUUCCAAAUUUGUUUUUUACAUUUGUUACUAAAAUCAAACAUCUGGCCGGUGUGGUAGCUCACGCCUGUAAUCCCAUCACUGUGGGAGGCCAAGGCAGGCAGAUCACCUGAGGUCAGGAGUUCGAGACCAGCCUGGCCAACAUGGUGAAACCCCAUCUCUACUAAAA